CCGGCGGCAGCGCCGAGCCCCGGGCGGGCGGGAGCGGCGCGGGAGGCGGCGGGGCCCCGCUGCAGCAGGCGGCUUUGUCACCCAGAAGCCCACCAGGCCCAGAGAACAACAACCUUGACCAGCAGUGCCCAGAAAGCAACAAGAAGCCAUUGGGGCAGUCCACAAUAUUGUAUGAUUACUCAGAGGAGGAGCUCAUGGCCAGCAUCGAGCGGGAGUACUGCCGCUGAGUCCAGGUCCCCACCACGAGAACGGCAGGCACGACCCUGGAAGCCCAGCUGAGCAGAGCUGCUGCCACCGCAGCGUCCCACUGUGCGAGACCGCACGGCAGAGGUGGCUGGUGGAGGGGACUGGAGCAGGAGGGACAGCGUGGCUGCUUGGGAAGCACAGAGGAGAAAGUUCACCUGAUCAGCUCCCAGUGAGAGCAGGAAGAUCCUCACCAGCUGCUGAUUUCUGAUUGGUGCCACUUGGAAGAGGGACCAAUUCAUCUUAAGAAUCAAUAUUUAGAAGCUCAUUUCUAAAUGCUAUUUUUAAAUGAACAUGUACUAGAAUUAAGUGCCAUACUAGAGGUGUUGAAAUGUGGUGCUUUGAAGGAAGAUCUUGCUUUGAAUUUAGUAAAAAAAAAUGCAGCAAUAUAAUCUGAUCCAGAAUUUAAGGGGAUGUUGAAUGAAAAUCACCAUUCUGCCACUUAAAAUGUGCUGAACUGUGCUUGUGCAAGUCUCAGGUCCAGGUCUGAAUUUGGCAUUGUCUCUUACAAUCUGGUCCCCAGUAUGAGAGGUAGGAGGAAAAGGGGAUCGAGCCCACCAUCUAGUGCAUAGGCAGUGUAAUCUCAGAGUUCAAAUCCCACCAUCCCACUGCCAGAUUAGGUUCCUGGGAGCCAUCAGAGAACACAGUAUUUGUAUGAUCCCUUUGGGAUAGGGUCCCAGCCUAGGUGUCCUACCUGGGGCUCCUGGGUGUGGAUCCAUCCCAGUGAAUGGAGUGAAAACAGGAGGCACAUCCCCAUUUCAGUCAUCCUCCUCAAGAGGUAUUUGCAUGCUCUUGUAGAGCAACAAACCAUUUGGGAUCAGUUUUCAUAAUUGCUACUCCUGGCCCUUCCCAAAUAUUUCUUGUCCUACAAGAAAAAUCACCGCAUUUUAUGAUUAGCUGACUGCAAAGUAAACCAGAAAGUUCUGUCCCCUAAGGAAACAGUAUUUUCAGUGCUCCCAGACAGGGAAGCCUGGUAUUUUGGGUU
ensembl:lncRNA